rnacentral:tRNA from 1 species
GCCCGAGUGGCGGAACGGUCUACGCAGCGGCUUGAGGUGCCGUACCUCGCAAGAGGUUGUGGGUUCAACUCCCACCUCGGGCACCA